GAAGGAGUUCGAUUUCACUGUCGAACCACGAAAAGGAUCCGUCUUUGAAGCAGUAAAUGGGUGGAGGAGCGAUGGAAGAAGAGGCAAUAUUUUUGCCGGAACGAGCUCUUUUAGAAUUCUUGCCCGCCAUUUGAAUGAAGAAAUAAGAGCCUUUGUAUGACUUUUGGAGACUUUUGAAGAGUGUUUGGAGAUAAGAGUGAUGGUGAAGUGAAGAUUUUGAAGGGUGGAAGCUCCUAUUUAUAGAGUGGAAGAAUUGAAGGCAUUUAAUUGAACAAAAUCUUCAGAUGUACUGUGCCAAACGGUCAGAAAACGGUAACAAAUUUGAAAAUUUGACCGUUGAUAAUCGACUAUUGAUUCUGAUAAUCGAUUAUUGUUAAGCAGUUUGAAUAACAG
rnacentral:lncRNA from 1 species